rnacentral:lncRNA from 1 species
GAGUGGGAGAAUGAGUUGGUAUCCUCAAUUGCUCGCGGAGCUGAAUUGAGGCGUGGUUUGAAUUUCGCGGACGAAAUUCUUUUUAAGGGGUGGAGAAUGAAACAUACCAGAUUUUGGUAUAAAAAUAAAAAUAAAUAAAAGUAGUGUGAGAAACUAUUUUUAUUGAAUUUAGAGAAGUAAAACAUAAGGAAGAAAUGACUUGUGCUGAAAUCGGAAUGAAAAUAAAAGAUUUAGAAUUUUUUGUUGGAAACGGGACAGAUAAAUUAGCAGAAAAUGCACAGUAUCAGAAAAUUAUGAAAACUGGAGGAUAAGCCAGAAUUAUUUUUAUGAGGCUAGAUUUAAAGUUUCAUGUCAUUCUGACACCCGAAAGGUAGAAAAUAAAAUCCGACAGCUAUCUAAUAAAGAUUAUAGUUCGGUACAGCUUUCGGUGACCAAACGGGGUCAAAACUGAAAUAUUAAAAUUUCUUUGGACUCGUUAAGUAAAACUGAACAUGACUGUCAAAUUUGAGCUCAAACAGAUGUUUAGGGAGUUCCGGCAAAAGAUAUCAGAUUUCGAACUGCCCGGAAGUGAAUAAUGUUUUGGGGUGUAAUGUAUUAAGAAGCCUUUUGCUUCUU